rnacentral:rRNA from 1 species
UACGUAGGGUGCAAGCGUUGUCCGGAAUUAUUGGGCGUAAAGAGCUCGUAGGCGGUUUGUUGCGUCGGCUGUGAAAUCCCGAGGCUCAACCUCGGGUCUGCAGUCGAUACGAGCAAACUAGAGUGUUGCAGGGGAGAAUGGAAUUCCUGGUGUAGCGGUGAAAUGCGCAGAUAUCAGGAAGAACACCCGUGGCUAAGGCGGUUCUCUAGCACGGUACUGACGCUGAGACGCGAAAGCGUGGGGAGCGAACAGG